UGCUCUGGGUGAUGCUCCUCUGGCAGGGGGUUGGACUAGAUGAUCUCCAGAGGUCCCUUCCAACCCUAUGUCAUUCUGUGAAGGUCUUGGUUACUCCCAUGCCCAACAGGAGACAAGAAGCCUCCUCUUAGCACUUAAAUUCUUGCAGGCACCAAAGGCUCUGCUUUGCACAAGAGCAAGUGAGAGGUCAGCAGAAGCUGAGAGCAACCGUGUUUUAUGAAGACAAAAGUCCACCUGCCUUUGAUAGUCAAAAGCAGCUCCUGCUCUGGUAAGAGCCCAGCUGCUUUUGAUGAAGUCAAGGCUCAGCAGCAUCUGGGAGCAUCAAGGCUUCUCGUCCUUGAAGAGUGCAGGAGAGCGGAUUGAGUUCCUGGAGGCUUUCUCAAAGCAGGAGCUUGGGACAAAAUUUCCAUCUGGGAAAGAACUUCAAAAAGCAGAACCUCCCCCUUGGGCGCAGCUCUCCAGGACCUUUAGGGGCUGCACCCCAAGAGAAAUAUCCCCCCCCAACCCUGUGCUGCAAACGGUGGGGUGCAGGAGCCGAGGAGCGGGGUCCAUCCUCGAGCCAGCGAGAGCCACCAGCAUCCCAGGACAGACGUGCCAGCACAGACCACACCAACCCGAGCCAUCUGCCAGGAUCCAAAGCACGGCAGAACAGAUGACAAAAAUGAAGAGGAUGUGCCUCCAGAGGAGGAAAGGGAUUUGGGUGGUAAAUCCCAGAAUCAGAAGGCCACGGAAGAGCCUGAAAUCUUCAGAAGGCUGGGCUGAGAAGAACAAUGCAC